AUCACACUUCACAAGGUCCAUUAUGUUAGCACUCUGUGUCACAAUACCCAGGGGUGCAUCCCUCAUCAACAUAUCACAUAAGAGUGUCUGGGUUCGCAAGAUGUUCUUUUCAACAAUCUGAUUUUCUAAUUCCAAUUCCUUACUGACAUGGAUAGCAAAUACUUGAACUAGAAACUCACAAGCAUACCUUAGAGGAAAUGGAACAAACCUUGAAGUUGUAUUGUGGCAUACAACUAAACCCCAAAGUCUCUUUCUUUUUUGUGAUUGCACAGAAGUAUGACUAUCAUCAUCUUCAUCCCCCUCAUUGAUAACAACCGCCAUAACCAGUGAAGCAAUGGAGUCCAUGUUCUCCAUAUAUUGUAAAUGGCAACU
rnacentral:misc_RNA from 1 species